AUAGAUGCCUUUACUGCGGCAAAUCCAACGGAAUAUGUGAAUCAUGCGUAGUCGGUUUUGGGGAAGUGUGUAUGAACAGAAUUGCACUUCAAACUGUACAGGACACUGCGAUAAAGAGAAAGGAACGUGUUUCUCUUGUAUACCGGGUUUAAUGGUUUCAACUGUGAUACUACAUGUGAAAAUAAUAACUGCGAAACUUGCAAACGCUAUGGUGACAGUCCUUCCUGUACAAAGUGCCGAACAGGAUACUGGGGCCAAAGCUGCGUUAGUGAGUGUAAGCCUGAUCAAUGCAUUGAAUGUCAUAUGGAUGACGGACGCUAUACUCUUUGUGAUGACGGAUUUUAUGGAACGUCAUGUCAUUUAAGGUGCCACGAAGGGUGUAAAUGCUGCAAUAGCACUUCCGGUACUUGUUCUCAAGAACAUUCCUGCUUUGGAACAAGUAGAAUGUACAACACAGCAGUGGUACCUGCGCAAGCAAACAACACCUUGGUUGCUGUUGGAAUUGCAUUAAAUGGCUGUUCUGUAGCAGUACUUUUCAUAGCUAUUGGCGCAUCGUGCAUUAUGAGAAGCCGAAGCAAACAGAAGGCUGGUGCAGCUACAUCAGAAAAAAACAACAUUGUUAAACAGAGUGUUUCGUAUACAGGUACGGCUUAUUACUCUGCUGCUCUUUCCUGAAGAAAGGAUACAUUGCAUCAUAGUUUUGAUACAUUUUAUGAUUGACACUGACCAGUCCUAAUUUACAAUGUUUCAGCGAUUUAAUAAAAGAUUCAAUGUCUCUACAUUGAUCAAAAUAUCUUUUUAAGCCAAGUGUUUUUAUUAUUAUAUUAUUAUGCUUUCUCGUUGUAUAAAUUCUUAUACGUUUAUAAAAAUGAUAAUUUGAAUAUCAAUUUUGUUCUUAACUUUUAUUAGUGGAUCGUAAGGGAAACGCCAAAGUUGAGGUACCGUCGUUUCAAGCUACAGAAAACAAUCGCACAUAUGAGAUUCUGGAAACAAACAAACCGUUUGAUAAAGAGAACUAUGCUGAUGUUCUCCAUAAAGAUGUGUUGUACGAAAAUACAUCUAUCUGAUAAGAAACCAUUACCUUUCGUCAUUUUCAGAAAAUAAAAAUAAAUAUGUUUUGAAAAUGAUCAUGAAAAUAAGUAUCAUAAAAAACAACAUUGGUUUCAAAUUGAAAGGCUUUGUUCACAUUCGUGUUUAGUAACUGUGCGUACAUAAUUCAAUGUAUAAUAAUUCGAGCAUCUUGUUUGGUUUUUGUUUCCACCCAUUUCUUUUGCACAUGCAUCUUGGAAUAUGAUUUUUAUAUUGGGCGACAAAACAAUUUUGACCAAGAGUAUUGACAGAUCCAAAAAAUAUUUACAUUCAAAACACUUGUUGAUGAAACGAUAAAGUUCGAUUACAUCUAUACGAUUUUAUUGAUUAAACUGUCCUAAGAGACGGUCGAUUGAACGCAAUAUUUUAUUGAUGGCACGCCGUCAUAUGAGAUAAAUCCAUUUUAGGGGACGUUUAAUAACUUCAAAAUCAAUUAAAAACGCUUUUCAUGACAAUGAAAUUAAAAUCAAAAUAUAUUUUAAUUUUCUGUUGGUAUGAAUACAAUAUGUGUAUUAAAAGUAUGUCCAUAGAAAACGAAGAUCAACAGAAACCCAUUUAAGAUCAGACAUCUUGUAUUCAAAUUCCUGCAAACGUCGUUCUCUUGUAUAAAUAUUGUAAAUAUGUUUCUAAUGAAUAAAUAUAUUUCCUUCCUCAAUUUUUAAUAUACAACCAAAUUUCGUAUAAUCUUAUCUACCUUUAGCACCAUUUACUUUGCCUAAUUUUUAUGAAUAAUUGUAUAUGAAUCUUUUUCGUGCGUGAAUAAAUGGGAAACUUCCUCUCCAACCCCACCCCCGCACCACCCCCACUUUCUACCUCUUACAUGUACCACUCCCCCUCUAUCUAUACUUUGCAUAAAAUUUAAAUGUACGUGCUGGAUUUUUGAAGCAACCCGUCUGUAAUAUUCUUUCUUUACAGCUUCUUUUUGUUGUGGGUCUACUUUGCAAUUGCGUGGCUCUGAUGCUUUGGUUUUUUGUGCUUUGUGCUUCUUAGAAAUCUACCCUUACCUAUUAUCUUUUGCUAUAUUUCCGUUUGUAUUGUUUUGAUAAAAAAUUACCGACAAGAUCACUCCUGGUUGAUCCAUCUUUUUCUCUAACAAAGUAUUUUAUUGACUGCUCCUUAAAUAUAAGAUAGUGCCAUUAAUAUUUACUUCAAAGUGAAGUAAUAGUUACUUUUUAUAGUUUCUAAUAUUUUAGAAUUUUUCAUUGAAACAAUGAUUUAGGUAUUUUAUGUAAUUUCCAUUAACUAACCCAAAGGGUAUCUCAUUUUGCAUAAAAACAACAUAAUCACUUUAAACCUAGAAAUGGUUUUGCGUUUUUCAAGUCCGUGAGUAUCUGCAAAAUUUUAUAGUCGCAAAACAACAAUCUACCAUAAAAACGCGAACGUUUGUAAUUUUCAUCGGUAGUCAAAGUAGUUAAUAUCAAAGAAAGUAGGAGCAAAUGUAUUCUCAAAAUUAUAAUCAAAUGCACAGUUUCCACUUUAAUCAUUCUUUCAUAUACAAAACUCACUAUGCAUUGAUUUGUGAUUACCGACGGUAAAAUAUGAAACGUAAAUUUCGCUCACAAAUGUGUUAAGGAUAGGUGAUUGCUUAUUUGUCCUAUUUAUUUCCAGUGUUAUUUACCGGCGACUAUUUGUUACGUGCGUAGGAUAUUGGGGUUCCGAUGUAUGUCCGCGAAUCUUUGAAGCCACUAAAUCUCCCGUUGACUUAGAAACGCGAAAUAUAGAGUUCGCGAACGUUUCUAGCUUUACAAUUUAUAAAUGUAUCUGUACAUAUUAGAAAUUUACAACAAUUAUAAUGCUUCGAUACUUUAUGGGCGAAAAAAAAUCAAUGUACAUCUAGUGAAGCUGUUAUAUAUUAAAUUGACUAUAUUACAUUUGGUUGGUUAAAAACUGCGAUAGCAGAAUUCAAACGAAAAGGUUUUAGUUAUGCAAAUUUGAUUUUUUAUUUCAUUUUCAAUUUUAAAUGCAUCGAAAAAAUAUCAGAAAAAUUGCAAAACUCUUUUGUCAGGGAAAACCGAACACAGGUUGAAAUAGCUUAGUUUAAUAUUAACAAUUAUUUACAUAUUUUUUAAAAACGAACUCUUACU